UCCAGCAUGAUCUACAAACAAAGGACUGAAGUAAGACUAUCCUAAGAAACCACAAUCUUGCAAUCAGGGGUCUUGUUCAGGUCAAGGACCCCUUGAUGAAGAGAAACACAGAACAGUGACGCUGAGUUAAAUAUUGUCUAAAAUGCACCACAAAAACAACAGCGAGGACAAAACAGACAAAAACAACACCAUCUUUCUGUGCUUCAGAUAACACAUCUCUCCUUAACAAGCCCUAAAACCAAUGUAAAAUCUCACCCGGAAGUAAUCACUGCAGGCUGCCAGAACUGCCUUGUGAGCAUGGAACUUCUGGUCCCCGGCGACCAGGGUGACAUCGCAGAGCAGUCCGUCUUUGCGCUGCUGAUUAAGGGCAGAGAGGACAGAGUCCUGGUGGGAUUUGG